rnacentral:rRNA from 1 species
UACGUAGGGGGCAAGCGUUGUCCGGAAUCAUUGGGCGUAAAGCGCGUGUAGGCGGUUCGGUAAGUCCGCUGUGAAAGUCGGGGGCUCAACCCUCGGAUGCCGGUGGAUACUGUCGAGCUUGAGUACGGAAGAGGCGAGUGGAAUUCCUGGUGUAGCGGUGAAAAUGCGCAGAUAUCAGGAGGAACACCAAUUGCGAAGGCAGCUCGCUGGGACGUUACUGACGCUGAGACGCGAAAGCGUGGGGGAGCAAACAGG